CACAAACAAACUACAAUGUGAAAGACAAUGGUAACAUUUUGACUUUUCCAAAACAAAACGAUGAAGUAUCACAAUGCUAGAAAUACUACUUCGUCCCAUGUAAGAUCUACAACAGAAUCUACUACCUAUAUCACUGAAGUAUUUUUAAGAGGGACUUGUAAACUAGCAAACUGUUCUUUCAUUAUUCACCUAGAGAUAUCAAGAUUGACCACUGCAACCUUUUAUAACACAAAGUAACUUGUUUUGUAUUCAUAUGAAAUAUUUCUGAUAUCAUGCCAAGACAAAGAACAAAAAAAAGGAGUUCAUCCUUUAAGGUGGAGGACACUAUUUUGUACAAGUUUCUCAUUGAACAUUUUGACUAUUCCAAACUUGGAUCAGAUGAUCCCAAUAAACUAUGCCUCAAAGGACAUGUCCUCCUAAUUUAUCUGCAAAAUCAUUCGUCCCAAACAGCAGCUGCUAAAUUCGUGGCUUCUACUUUUGGAUUCCCUUUUACCCCAUAUUUAACUACCAAAGUCUGUAAUUUAAUUACGAGCACCUUUGUUAGAUAUAAAAAUAAAAUUACUCAAUCUAUGACAGAAAUUCAAAACAUUUGUACUCAGAUUUUUUACCAAUUACCAAACACAACUGCUUCUAAUCCUGAUCAAAUUCCUUUGAAAGCUACAGAAAUUUCAGAUGUUAUUCAACCAACUGAUCAAAACCCUGUUUCAUCAAAUUUGAGAAGUAAUGCUGAAUUAAACCACUGUAUAAGAAAAUUAAAGAUGUGCCUCUCUUUCCUGUCCCAAGCAAGAAGUGAAGAUAAAAUGAAAUACAGAACUAAACUCAAGUCUCAAUCUAGAUUGAUUAAAAAUCUUAGAGAGUCAGUUCGGAGAAAAGAUGAAAGAAUUAAAAAGCUUUUAAAUAAAUUAAAGAAAAGAAAAGUUAAAUCUGGGGAACUAGAAGAUUGUCAAGUUCAAAGCUCUACAAAAGAUUGUUUAAUUCAGAGCACCACAGUCAACACUAAGGAAGAAAAAACAAUAAGAGCUAAUGAAGAAAAUUGAGCGUCAAAAGAUUUUAUUAAAAAUUACUAGUUUUACAUAACAAUCACACAACCUAUGUCCUUUUACUGUAACACUUGGACUGACCCAUGUCAUUCUGUGUAUUUAUUCUUCAAAUAUUAGCUUUGCUAUAAGCUAGUAAAAAUUGGACUUUAUCAUUAGCAACUUCUGCUGACCAGAGUUAUAAGAGGAUUAUUGACCAGAACAACUUGGACUUGCACAUUUCUGCUAUCAUGCUUGGCUGUCAUUUGCAGAUCACACAUUUUCUUUUUAUCAAUGGUGAUGACUCACUAGGCAUGAUGGCACAAUGUCCUUUAUGGAAAAGGUCAGGGCACACUCUGGCUGUAUGUGGCAUAGAAUGAGCAUGGGUUCAGCUUAAAUCAAAAAUUGUUUAAGAGAACUGUCAGUGGUAACUAAUCAAUUGAUGACUUUGGAUAAAAACAAGAAUGGAUGAUUGUCCACCUGAAGCAAUUAACAAACUGGGAUGCUAUUCAUCGUGUAAUUCAAGUCUUUUAAAUAAAUCUAGACUUCUAGACCAACAAAACUGAAACUUUUGAGUAAAAUUCGAGAUACCAUAUUAUAGGUAACCAGCUGAAGUAUCGAAGUAAAUUAAUUUUGUAUUUUUGUACUUUUUUUUGGUCAAUUUUCAGAACAAUUUACUUGCAAAUAAUUUCAUGUUAUUUAUUUACUAUGUAUAAUACAGUUUGCUGGUUCCCUCUAGUGUAUUAAUCUUUGGUUAAUUACUGUAUGUUUAGAUUUACAAUAGAUGAAGCUCAAGUUUAUACAGUUUAUAUAGUUGACCAACACAGUAACAUUAAGUAUUUAUUUUAAAACUGGGUGAAUUUUUUUUUCUUCUAUUACUAGUUUGUUGCCUACAUAAAGCCUAGUUCCCAAGUAUUUUGUGCUGUUAUUAUAAAACCUAGCUUAAUGUUGUCAUGCCAUGUUACUAAGUUAUCUUUCUUAGCGUACUGUGGAAAGUUGACCAACACAGUAACAUUAAGUAUUUAUUUUUAAAACUGGGUGAAUUUUUUUUUUCUUCUAUUACUAGUUUGUUGCCUACAUAAAGCCUAGUUCCCAAGUAUUUUGUGCUGUUAUUAUAAAACCUAGCUUAAUGUUGUCAUGCCAUGUUACUAAGUUAUCUUUCUUAGCGUACUGUGGAAAGUUGACCAACACAGUAACAUUAAGUAUUUAUUUUUAAAACUGGGUGAAUUUUUUUUUUCUUCUAUUACUAGUUUGUUGCCUACAUAAAGCCUAGUUCCCAAGUAUUUUGUGCUGUUAUUAUAAAACCUAGCUUAAUGUUGUCAUGCCAUGUUACUAAGUUAUCUUUCUUAGCGUACUGUGGAAAGUUGACCAACACAGUAACAUUAAGUAUUUAUUUUUAAAACUGGGUGAAUUUUUUUUUUCUUCUAUUACUAGUUUGUUGCCUACAUAAAGCCUAGUUCCCAAGUAUUUUGUGCUGUUAUUAUAA
rnacentral:sRNA from 13 species